UUAAAAGAGAGUUUGAUCCUGGCUCUGGACGAACGCUGGCGGCGUGCCUAAUACUUGCAAGUCGAACGAACGGAGGAUGAGCUUGCUCUUCCAUAGUUAGUGGCGGACGGGAGAGUAACACGUGGGCAACCUGCCUGUAAGUUGGGGAUAUCUCCGGGAAACCGGGGCUUUUUCCGAAUGUUAUAAUGUGGCGCAUGCCACGCUUUUGUAAGAUGGUUUCGGCUAUCGCUUUCAGAAGGGC
rnacentral:rRNA from 1 species